GUGUAUGGCCAUACCAUCCUGAAUGUGUUCAAUCUCCACUGAUCUCAGAAACUAAGGUACAUCAGGCCUGGUUGCUACUUGGGUGGGAGAUGGUAGGACAUCAUAUGCA
rnacentral:rRNA from 1 species